AGGGUUUGAUCCUGGCUCAGGAUGAACGCUAGCGGCAGGCCUAACACAUGCAAGUCGAACGGUAACAUAGAGAAGCUUGCUUUUCUGAUGACGAGUGGCGCACGGGUGCGUAACGCGUAUGCAAUCUGCCUUGUACUGGAGUAUAGCCCAGGGAAACUUGGAUUAAUCCUCCAUAGUCUAUUGAAUUGGCAUCAUUUUAAUAGUAAAGGUUACGGUACAAGAUGAGCAUGCGUCCUAUUAGCUAGUAGGUGUGGUAACGGCACACCUAGGCUACGAUAGGUAGGGGUCCUGAGAGGGAGAUCCCCCACACUGGUACUGAGACACGGACCAGACUCCUACGGGAGGCAGCAGUGAGGAAUAUUGGACAAUGGGCGCAAGCCUGAUCCAGCCAUGCCGCGUGCAGGAAGACGGCCCUAUGGGUUGUAAACUGCUUUUAUACGGGAAGAAUAAGUGUUACGUGUAACACGAUGACGGUACCGUAAGAAUAAGCACCGGCUAACUCCGUGCCAGCAGCCGCGGUAAUACGGAGGGUGCAAGCGUUAUCCGGAAUCAUUGGGUUUAAAGGGUCCGUAGGUGGACUAAUAAGUCAGUGGUGAAAGUCUGCAGCUUAACUGUAGAAUUGCCAUUGAUACUGUUAGUCUUGAAUUGUUGUGAAGUA
rnacentral:rRNA from 1 species